GACGAACGCUGGCGGCGUGCUUAACACAUGCAAGUCGAACGGAGAGGCCCUGCCUUUGUGGGGUGCUCGAGUGGCGAACGGGUGAGUAACACGUGAGUAACCUGCCCUUGACUUUGGGAUAACUUCAGGAAACUGGGGCUAAUACCGGAUAGGAGCUCCUGCUGCAUGGUGGGGGUUGGAAAGUUUCGGCGGUUGGGGAUGGACUCGCGGCUUAUCAGCUUGUUGGUGGGGUAGUGGCUUACCAAGGCUUUGACGGGUAGCCGGCCUGAGAGGGUGACCGGCCACAUUGGGACUGAGAUACGGCCCAGACUCCUACGGGAGGCAGCAGUGGGGAAUAUUGCACAAUGGGCGGAAGCCUGAUGCAGCAACGCCGCGUGCGGGAUGACGGCCUUCGGGUUGUAAACCGCUUUCGCCUGUGACGAAGCGUGAGUGACGGUAAUGGGUAAAGAAGCACCGGCUAACUACGUG
rnacentral:rRNA from 1 species